rnacentral:lncRNA from 1 species
AUGACAAGGAAGAGGGAGUAUCCUAGGGAGACCCUAAAGAGCUAUGAAAUUUCCCACGGUGUCCCUAGGGACAGUGUUGGGGAAAAAGAUGAAUUGCUUCAGCUCAGUCCAUUUUUAAGACAUUCUGUUCUGAAGAGGACAUUCAAUGUCACUCUACCAAAUCCUUCCCUGAUCAAGAGAGAAAACACUUUUACUACAGGACAAAAAGCCAAACAAAAACGCUCAGGAAGCAAAGUAAAAUCUUCUAAAUGAUAUAUUCUAAAGGUAUUAUCUAUUAAUAUAAAGGUAAGCUGACAGUUCUCUCACAAAGAAGUAAUUCCAUUUUGAUGAUGCCCUCCAUCAGCUACUCAAAGGAACAUAAUUGCUCUUCUAACCUCAAGAGAUAGAAAAAUCUGUUCUUGCAAGACAUUUAAUUCUCUAUUUUUUUUUCUCAAAAUUUUCAUAUUACAAUAGUGGUAUAUAUAUUCACUGCAUUCUUUCUCAAUAUAUAUUACUAGUGCUUCCGUAUAAAAUACAAUGCUGUAUUUUAUAAAGACAUCUGAAAACCCUUUCUUUUUAACUUUAGAAUCUCAUUCUCUAACCAGAGAAUGCAAUUAUUUUCCAGAUACUAGGUGUGCUGAAAAUAAGUACAUGAUGUUAUUAUGUGUGUGUUAUCCACUUGACUUAUUUUCUUACUUGUCAGUUCUCUGAAAUUAUAAAAGUGGAGAAUGAAAAUCACAAAAAAAUGACUUACUUUGUGUAUGCUUUAGUUGGUGUGAAUUUCAUGUACAGAUAGGAGAUCAAGAAAAAUUGAUUAAAUUGUGGUGAUACAUUUACUUCUCUUUAACAGCCUACAUAUUUGGGGAAGAUGGGUAACCUUAAAUAUUAAGUCCCAAAAUUUGGGGGUUCGUGGUCUGCUUCUAACAUGGUCUUGAAAAACAAGUGAGAGAUAAGAAUUAGAUCAAUGAUUUUUAAUUUGGGAGGGAGGGUAGCAUAAGCUCCUUUGGAAUUUUGAUAAAAGCUAUGGAAACAUCUUUGAUAAAAAUAACCUAAAUUUAGCAUAAUUUCAAGGGAUUCAAGCAUGCUUGGACUCUUUCAACGUAUUCUGGUUUAAGAAAACUUCACCUAAAAUGUCUCCAUUGGGGCGUCUGGGUGGUGCAGUCGGUUAAGCGUCCGACUUCAGCCAGGUCACGAUCUCGCGGUCCGUGAGUUCGAGCCCCGCGUCAGGCUCUGGGCUGAUGGCUCGGAGCCUGGAGCCUGUUUCCGAUUCUGUGUCUCCCUCUCUCUCUGCCCCUCCCCCGUUCAUGCUCUGUCUCUCUCUGUCCCAAAAAUAAAUAAAAAACGUUGAAAAAAAAUUAAAAAAAA